GUGACGUUACCAAUCUGUUGCCUCGGCGGGAUUCUCUUGCCCCGGGCGCGUCGCAGCCCCGGAUCCCAUGGCGCCCGCCGGAGGACCAACUCCAAACUCUUUUUUUCUCUCCGUCGCGGCUCCCGUCGCGGCUCUGUUUUAUUUUUGCUCUGAGCCUUUCUCGGCGACCCUAGCGGGCGUCUCGAAAAUGAAUCAAAACUUUCAACAACGGAUCUCUUGGUUCUGGCAUCGAUGAAGAACGCAGCGAAAUGCGAUAAGUAAUGUGAAUUGCAGAAUUCAGUGAAUCAUCGAAUCUUUGAACGCACAUUGCGCCCGCCAGUAUUCUGGCGGGCAUGCCUGUCCGAGCGUCAUUUCAACCCUCGAACCCCUCCGGGGGGUCGGCGUUGGGGAUCGGCCCCUCACCGGGCCGCCCCCGAAAUACAGUGGCGGUCUCGCCGCAGCCUCUCCUGCGCAGUAGUUUGCACACUCGCACCGGGAGCGCGGCGCGGCCACAGCCGUAAAACACCCCAAACUUCUGGAAUGUUGACCUCGGAUCAGGUAGGAAUACCCGCUGAACUUAAGCAUAUCAAUAA
rnacentral:rRNA from 1 species